CCCUUAGAUGUUCUGGGCGGCCCGCGCACUACAUUGGCACUGGCAACAAGAUCCUAGAUCUGAUAUUUCGGGGUAUUCUACCAACUGGUGUCGUGACUGGGAUUAACCCCUGCAAUUAUUGGUUAUGAACGAGGAAUUCCUUGUAAUCACGGUUUAUCAACCCGUGUUGAAUGCGUCCCUGCCCUUUGUACACACCGCCCGUCGCUCCUACCGAUGAAUCGUCCGGUGAAGUUCAUGGAGUCGCGGCUGCUCCAGCCGUUUUCGAAGUGAAAUGGACCUCAUGAUUUAGAGGAAGGAGAAGUCGUAACA
rnacentral:rRNA from 1 species